rnacentral:rRNA from 1 species
UACGAAGGGGGCAAGCGUUACUCGGAAUCAUUGGGCGUAAAGCGUGCGUAGGCUGUUUUACAAGUUACAAGUGAAAUCCAUUAGCUCAACUAAUGAACUGCUUGUAAAACUGUAAAGCUAGAGUGUCAGAGAGGAUAGAAAAAUUCUUAAUGUAGGGGUGAAAUCCGUAGAUAUUAAGAGGAAUACCAAAGGCGAAAGCAUCUAUCUAGCUGAAUACUGACGCUGAGGUACGAAAGCGUGGGGAGCAAACAGG